rnacentral:rRNA from 1 species
GUCCAUGCCCUAAACGUUGAUUACUCGUUGUUGGCGAUACACUGUCAGCGACUAAGCGAAAGCGUUAAGUAAUCCACCUGGGGAGUACGAUCGCAAGGUUGAAACUCAAAGGAAUUGACGGGGGCCCGCACAAGCGGUGGAGCAUGUGGUUUAAUUCGAUGAUACGCGAGGAACCUUACCAGGGCUUGAAAGUUAGCGACCGCUGCCGAAAGGUGGCUUCCCUUCGGGGCGCGAAACUAGGUGCUGCAUGGCUGUCGU